rnacentral:rRNA from 1 species
UACGUAGGCAGCGAGCGUUGUUCGGAGUUACUGGGCGUAAAGGGCGCGUAGGCGGUCAGCACAAGUCAGUUGUGAAAUCUCCGGGCUUAACUCGGAAAGGUCAACUGAUACUGUGCGACUAGAGUGCAGAAGGGGCAACUGGAAUUCUCGGUGUAGCGGUGAAAUGCGUAGAUAUCGAGAGGAACACCUGCGGCGAAGGCGGGUUGCUGGGCUGACACUGACGCUGAUGCGCGAAAGCCAGGGGAGCGAACGGG